GUCAAAGGAAAAGCCGAGGUCAAGGAAGCCAGAAAUACACAAUACCGUUUCAACAAGCCAAGUCAGGGGAAACAGAAAUCGGAAUAGCCAAGAUCAGAAUACCAGAAUAUGAAUAUCACGAAGAAAAACGCACUCAGGAAACCAGGAACGAGAAACCACGACAGGGCAAGGUACUGGGGUGAGUUAGGGAUUUAAAUGUCCCUCUCUAGGCUCUGAUUUGACAGAGGGUGACCUCUGACUCCAG